rnacentral:rRNA from 1 species
UACGGGGGGGGCAAGCGUUGUUCGGAAUUACUGGGCGUAAAGGGCUCGUAGGCGGCCAACUAAGUCAGACGUGAAAUCCCUCGGCUUAACCGGGGAACUGCGUCUGAUACUGGAUGGCUUGAGUUUGGGAGAGGGAUGCGGAAUUCCAGGUGUAGCGGUGAAAUGCGUAGAUAUCUGGAGGAACACCGGUGGCGAAGGCAGCCUUCUGGGCCAACACUGAUGCUCAUGCACGAAAGCGUGGGGAGCAAACAGG